rnacentral:misc_RNA from 1 species
AUUCUCAUAUUGAUAACUUGGUGAGAAAAUAUUUCACUUAAAAUUUAAAUAAUUUGAAUAUAAAGUUUAAAAAUAUAUUAGAAAGCUUUUUUUAUAACCUCUUAUACUUAAAUGUACAUCAAAAUUUAUUUAUGUAUUUUAUAUAAAUCUGAUUAUAUAUUUUUUUUUUGCAAGGUACUUUUUAGUAAGUUUUAAAAUCUUACGAUUUUACGAUACAAUUUUACAGCCCCUUCACCGAGUCUAGGUUAGAAAAGCGAGUUUGACGACCUUGCUCCGAUGCCUAAGUCAGUAAUAAGAAUUGGACUGUGAUAGGAUAGUUAAAAUUGGUUGUUUCGCGUACUUGAUGGCCCUUAUAUAGGUUCUGAUAUAGGCACCUACUAAAAUUAGGAGUUAGUAGUUGAGUAGGAUUAAGAAUCCAUCCUGAGUCCUAUUGUGAAUGAACCUUUGGUUACAGCAAAUAUCUCGGGAUCCUGGUGAUUCGAGUAUUAUGUGCAUAGUUGGGCAAUUAAUUCCUUGUUCAAGAGUCCGAGUUUCCCAUAGUUACUCGGUUAGGGUCUUUACAGGGUACCAUUUUGGUGACUAUAACAUCAUGAUGAAUUGAAAAUUGGAGUCUAUGACUUUCUAUGAAUAUAUGAGUUUCACAAAAUGGAGGACCAUUGGGAAAGCACAUCUUAAGAUAAGAAAGUAUGAACACUUUGAUUUUUUCCCCCUAGAGCUCUGAAUGUUUUGGUUAAACUAGCUACUUAGAAGACCACUAGGAAAGCACAUCUUAAGAAAAGAAAGUAUGAAUACUUUGAUUUUUUUUCCUCUAGAUCUCUGAGUGUCGGGUUAAACCAGCUACUUAGAAAGAACUGAAGAUUCAAACUUCAAGUCUUCAUUAUCUCUUUCAUAAAGGAAUGGGGAUUUUUAAGUGUCCUCCUAUGUUCAUUUGCAUUUUGGUGAUUGGCUAGGAAGAAAUUAUUAGUUACGUGCCUAACCCACCGAACCCUCAUAUUUUCCACAUAAGUAUACACCCUUGCUUUGUGAAGUGCCUCUCAGGUGUUUGAGGAGGUAUCAGGGCGCUCAAAUUGUUGUGUUGGAGAAGAGAGGUUGUUGCUAACUUGUUAUAUAUGCCAUCGUGUUUUUUGAACAAAUGCAUUGUCUACAUUAUGGUGAGCAUGAUAUGUGCUCCAAUUUCAUCUCUUUGCUUCAUUGCUAGAUUGUUCUAGAAUCAAUCAGGUUUAAUGGUUUGCUUUAUUGCUUUAUAUUUGGGUAUUGUGAUAUACAAUGCUUAUGAAAUAAAAGAAAUAGAUAAAGAAAAAGUAGCAUUAAAAUUAUGGGCAUUUGAUCAUGGCACUCUUAUAGA